rnacentral:rRNA from 1 species
UACGUAGGUGGCAAGCGUUGUCCGGAAUUAUUGGGCGUAAAGCGCGCGCAGGCGGUCCUUUAAGUCUGAUGUGAAAGCCCACGGCUCAACCGUGGAGGGUCAUUGGAAACUGGGGGACUUGAGUACAGAAGAGAAGAGUGGAAUUCCACGUGUAGCGGUGAAAUGCGUAGAGAUGUGGAGGAACACCAGUGGCGAAGGCGACUCUUUGGUCUGUAACUGACGCUGAGGCGCGAAAGCGUGGGGAGCAAA